AUUGAACGCUAGCGGCAUGCUUUACACAUGCAAGUCGAACGGUAACAGGCUUUUCGGAGUGCUGACGAGUGGCGAACGGGUGAGUAACACAUCGGAACGUAUCCUGAAGAGGGGGGAUAACCUAGCGAAAGUUAGGCUAAUACCGCAUAUUCUCUGAGGAGGAAAGCGGGGGGACCGUAAGGCCUCGCGCUUUAGGGGCGGCCGAUGUCUGAUUAGCUAGUUGGUGGGGUAAAGGCCUACCAAGGCGACGAUCAGUAGCUGGUCUGAGAGGAUGAUCAGCCACACUGGGACUGAGACACGGCCCAGACUCCUACGGGAGGCAGCAGUGGGGAAUAUUGGACAAUGGGCGCAAGCCUGAUCCAGCAAUGCCGCGUGUGUGAAGAAGGCCUGCGGGUUGUAAAGCACUUUUGUUCGGGAAGAAAUCAUGUCGGUUAAUACCCGAUGUGGAUGACGGUACCGAAAGAAUAAGCACCGGCUAACUUCGUGCCAGCAG
rnacentral:rRNA from 1 species